rnacentral:rRNA from 1 species
ACACAUGCAGUCGAACGAUGAUGCCCAGCUUGCUGUGGAUUAGUGGCGAACGGGUGAGUAACACGUGAUAACCUGCCCCUGACUCUGGGAUAAGCGUUGGAAACGACGUCUAAUACUGGAUACGACUGCCGGCCGCAUGUCUGGUGGUGGAAAGAUUUUUUGGUUGGGGAUGGACUCGCGGCCUAUCAGCUUGUUGGUGAGGUAAUGGCUCACCAAGGCGACGACGGGUAGCCGGCCUGAGAGGGUGACCGGCCACACUGGGACUGAGACACGGCCCAGACUCCUACGGGAGGCAGCAGUGGGGAAUAUUGCACAAUGGGCGAAAGUGAUGCAGCAACCCGCGUGAGGGAUGACGGCCUUCGGGUUGUAAACCUCUUUUAGUAGGGAAGAAGCGAAAGUGACGGUACCUGCAGAAAAAGCACCGGCUAACUACGUGCCAGCAGCCGCGGUAAUACGUAGGGUGCAAGCGUUGUCCGGAAUUAUUGGGCGUAAAGAGCUCGUAGGCGGUUUGUCGCGUCUGCUGUGAAAUCCCGGAGGCUCAACCUCGGGCUUGCAGGUGGUACGGGGCAGACUACAAGUGCGG